CCCUCCGUAGCUCAGCGGUUAGAGCGGCCAGGGACGGCGGCAACCCGCUGCGUCCCCCGUAUGGCUGUAGUCAGCCCCGUGGGCGACAUUAGAAAAAGGCCCACGGGUAGUCGGACACCGGCAGGCCCCGGGUUCAAAUCCCGGCGGAGGGACCA
rnacentral:tRNA from 1 species